rnacentral:rRNA from 1 species
CUGCGCCGAAAAUGUACCGGGGCUAAACAUAUUACCGAAGCUGUGGAUUGUCCUUUGGACAAUGGUAGGAGAGCGUUCUAAGGGCGUUGAAGCAUGAUCGUAAGGACAUGUGGAGCGCUUAGAAGUGAGAAUGCCGGUGUGAGUAGCGAAAGACGGGGGAGAAUCCCGUCCACCGAUUGACUAAGGUUUCCAGAGGAAGGCUCGUCCGCUCUGGGUUAGUCGGGUCCUAAGCUGAGGCCGACAGGCGUAGGCGAUGGAUAACAGGUUGAUAUUCCUGUACCACCUAUAAUCGUUUUAAUCGAUGGGGGGACGCAGUAGGAUAGGCGAAGCGUGCGAUUGGAUUGCACGUCUAAGCAGUAAGGCUGAGUAUUAGGCAAAUCCGGUACUCGUUAAGGCUGAGCUGUGAUGGGGAGAAGACAUUGUGUCUUCGAGUCGUUGAUUUCACACUGCCGAGAAAAGCCUCUAGAUAGAAAAUAGGUGCCCGUACCGCAAACCGACACAGGUAGUCAAGAUGAGAAUUCUAAGGUGAGCGAGCGAACUCUCGUUAAGGAACUCGGCAAAAUGACCCCGUAACUUCGGGAGAAGGGGUGCUCUUUAGGGUUAACGCCCAGAAGAGCCGCAGUGAAUAGGCCCAAGCGACUGUUUAUCAAAAACACAGGUCUCUGCUAAACCGUAAGGUGAUGUAUAGGGGCUGACGCCUGCCCGGUGCUGGAAGGUUAAGAGGAGUGGUUAGCUUCUGCGAAGCUACGAAUCGAAGCCCCAGUAAACGGCGGCCGUAACUAUAACGGUCCUAAGGUAGCGAAAUUCCUUGUCGGGUAAGUUCCGACCCGCACGAAAGGCGUAACGAUUUGGGCACUGUCUCAACGAGAGACUCGGUGAAAUCAUAGUACCUGUGAAGAUGCAGGUUACCCGCGACAGGACGGAAAGACCCCGUGGAGCUUUACUGUAGCCUGAUAUUGAAAUUCGGCACAGCUUGUACAGGAUAGGUAGGAGCCUUUGAAACGUGAGCGCUAGCUUACGUGGAGGCGCUGGUGGGAUACUACCCUAGCUGUGUUGGCUUUCUAACCCGCACCACUUAUCGUGGUGGGAGACAGUGUCAGGCGGGCAGUUUGACUGGGGCGGUCGCCUCCUAAAAGGUAACGGAGGCGCUCAAAGGUUCCCUCAGAAUGGUUGGAAAUCAUUCAUAGAGUGUAAAGGCAUAAGGGAGCUUGACUGCGAGACCUACAAGUCGAGCAGGGUCGAAAGACGGACUUAGUGAUCCGGUGGUUCCGCAUGGAAGGGCCAUCGCUCAACGGAUAAAAGCUACCCCGGGGAUAACAGGCUUAUCUCCCCCAAGAGUUCACAUCGACGGGGAGGUUUGGCACCUCGAUGUCGGCUCAUCGCAUCCUGGGGCUGUAGUCGGUCCCAAGGGUUGGGCUGUUCGCCCAUUAAAGCGGUACGCGAGCUGGGUUCAGAACGUCGUGAGACAGUUCGGUCCCUAUCCGUCGUGGGCGUAGGAAAUUUGAGAGGAGCUGUCCUUAGUACGAGAGGACCGGGAUGGACAUACCUCUGGUGUACCAGUUGUCGUGCCAACGGCAUAGCUGGGUAGCUAUGUGUGGACGGGAUAAGUGCUGAAAGCAUCUAAGCAUGAAGCCCCCCUCAAGAUGAGAUUUCCCAACUUCGGUUAUAAGAUCCCUCAAAGAUGAUGAGGUUAAUAGGUUCGAGGUGGAAGCAUGGUGACAUGUGGAGCUGACGAAUACUAAUCGAUCGAAGACUUAAUCAA